GACGAACGCUGGCGGCGUGCCUAACACAUGCAAGUCGAACGCUUCUUUCCUCCCGACUGCUUGCACUCAAUUGGAACGAGGAGUGUCUGCCGGGUGAGUAACACGUUCGUAACCUACCCCUCAGUGGGGGUUAACACUUUGCUACAUGUGCUAUUACCACUUAACAGUUUAUGCCGCAUGGCUUACGAGUUAAAGGCGCCUUCUGUUGUCUCUGAUGGUUGGACCCGGGGUGCAUUAGCUAGUUGGUGAGGUAACGGCUCACCAAGGAGACGAUGCAUAGCCGGAAUGAGAGGAUGAUCAGCCACACUGGGACUGAGACACGGCCCAGACUCCUAAGGGAGGCAGCAGUAGGGAAUCUGCGGCAAUGGACGAAAGACUGACCGAGCAACGCCGCGUGAGUGAAGAAGGAGUUCGGGUAGUAAAACGCUGUUGUUAGGAAAGAACAGGGACGGGAGAAACUGAACGUCUCAUGACGGUAGCGAAAGAAAAAGCAACGGCUAACUACGUG
rnacentral:rRNA from 1 species